GGGUUGUGAGGUUAAGCGACUAAGCGUACACGGUGGAUGCCCUGGCAGUCAGAGGCGAUGAAGGACGUGCUAAUCUGCGAUAAGCGUCGGUAAGGUGAUAUGAACCGUUAUAACCGGCGAUUUCCGAAUGGGGAAACCCAGUGUGUUUCGACACACUAUCAUUAACUGAAUCCAUAGGUUAAUGAGGCGAACCGGGGGAACUGAAACAUCUAAGUACCCCGAGGAAAAGAAAUCAACCGAGAUUCCCCCAGUAGCGGCGAGCGAACGGGGAGCAGCCCAGAGCCUGAAUCAGUGUGUGUGUUAGUGGAAGCGUCUGGAAAGGCGCGCGAUACAGGGUGACAGCCCCGUACACAAAAAUGCACAUACUGUGAGCUCGAUGAGUAGGGCGGGACACGUGGUAUCCUGUCUGAAUAUGGGGGGACCAUCCUCCAAGGCUAAAUACUCCUGACUGACCGAUAGUGAACCAGUACCGUGAGGGAAAGGCGAAAAGAACCCCGGCGAGGGGAGUGAAAAAGAACCUGAAACCGUGUA
rnacentral:rRNA from 1 species